rnacentral:rRNA from 1 species
UACGUAGGGUGCGAGCGUUAAUCGGAAUUACUGGGCGUAAAGCGUGCGCAGGCGGUGCUGUAAGACCGAUGUGAAAUCCCCGGGCUUAACCUGGGAACUGCAUUGGUGACUGCAGCGCUGGAGUAUGGCAGAGGGGGGUGGAAUUCCACGUGUAGCAGUGAAAUGCGUAGAGAUGUGGAGGAACACCGAUGGCGAAGGCAGCCCCCUGGGCCAAUACUGACGCUCAGGAGCGAAAGCAUGGGGAGCGAACAGG